GCUCUGCAGCAGCCAUCUUCACCUGGAUACUGCCGGGAGACGACCGGCCACUGCUGCUGCGUGAAAUGCAGGUAGCUGGUCUUGGGCCUCUUCGGCGGACCGUCCGAUGUGCUGCUGAAACUUUUAAUCGCAGGAGAGCCAACAAAGACGGCGUUCAAUGACACCAGAGUUCAGCUUGUGUCACAUACGAUUUGAGCGUGUCCCCAGUUCGGAAAUUGCAUCUUUUCUAUACAACAGACGCCCACGCGGUCUGACAACCUAGCCCUAGAGCAAGCUAAGCUACCGUCUGCUGGAUCUUACCUGAAAACGGAGACGCCUGUGAGGAAACCCAGCGGCUUGCUCAGGAGGCUGGCCCCUACUGACAUCAAGCUGAAGGAGACCAUUUUCUGGUUCUUCAAAACAAACGUCUAUUCAACCACUAGAUUACAAAGAAAGCAAUGUACUGAAUCGGGAAAGUUAUUUAUCUGGGUAAAAUGUUGACUUGUACCCCCAACGACCGUUUUUGACAAGACAUGGAGGUAAAAAAAAAACAAAAAAGGCGCUCAAAACGUUGUCUUGUCCCGCUUAGGGAGCCGAGGAACCGCGCCGCGUCUCCACGUUCAGAGUGACGUAGCUCUGUGGGCGCGGUCUAAGGGGCCGUGCACUUCAGCGCAAUUCAUUAUAUGCGCGGCUUUUCAACAUUUUCAGCGACUGCCCGAUAUAAUGUACAAAAUGCUGUAAAUAAGGUCUACAUAAAAAUUGUAAAAGCCUUCGAUUUGAAAAUGGACCUGCUGUUUCGCGGCCAAUCAAAGGGCAGCUGCAGCCGCGGUUCCCCCCCGCGCUCUUAUGGGACCGCCAGGCCGCGCGUUCUCGACGAAUUGCAUUGUGGGAAGGUAAAAAGGCCUGUCAACAUCUCGCACGCUUUGCAGUGGUUCACCACAUCCGUGAAAAGACUUUCUUGAAGACUUUUUCCACCAUAAAACCAAUAACGUUUUUAACGACUUAAAUAAAUCUUUAUAUUUCAACAAUAAAAUAGUAUCUGUUUCGAAA